GUGGGGAAUUUUGGACAAUGGGCGAAAGCCUGAUCCAGCGACGCCGCGUGGAGGACGAAGGUCUUCGGAUCGUAAACUCCUUUUGCAGGGGGCGAAUGCAGGCAACUGCUUGACGGUACUCUGCGAAUAAGCCACGGCUAACUACGUGCCAGCAGCCGCGGUAAUACGUAGGUGGCGAGCGUUACUCGGAUUUACUAGGCGUAAAGCGCGUGUAGGCGGGAGUUUAAGUCUGCCGUUAAAUCCCGGGGCUCAACCCCGGGCCGUCGGCGGAUACUGGGCUUCUUGAGUGAGGCAGGGGAAACUGGAAUUCCAGGUGUAGCGGUGAAAUGCGUAGAUAUCUGGAAGAACGCCAAAGGCGAAGGCAGGUUUCUGGGCCUUUACUGACGCUGAGACGCGAAAGCUAGGGGAGCAAACAGGAUUAGAUACCCCUGUAGUCC
rnacentral:rRNA from 1 species